rfam:Xenopus laevis strain J chromosome 1L, whole genome shotgun sequence.
CCAAAGGCUCUUUUAAAAGCCACCACAUCCCCCCUGAAAGAGCUUGU